rnacentral:rRNA from 1 species
CAGCAGCCACGGGAAUACGUAGGGUGCGAGCGUUAAUCGGAAUUACUGGGCGUAAAGUGUGCGCAGGCGGUUCGUUAAGACAGAUGUGAAAUCCCCGGGCUUAACCUGGGAACUGCAUUUGUGACUGGCGAGCUAGAGUAUGGCAGAGGGGGGUAGAAUUCCACGUGUAGCAGUGAAAUGCGUAGAGAUGUGGAGGAAUACCGAUGGCGAAGGCAGCCCCCUGGGCCAAUACUGACGCUCAUGCACGAAAGCGUGGGGGGCAAACAGGAUUAGAUACCCGCGUAGUCCCUGUCUCUUAUAC